rnacentral:lncRNA from 1 species
GGGAUGGAACCUAGGACCCUGAACAUGGCAGGCAAACACUGUACCGCUGAGCCACACCUCCGGUCCUGUUGGUUAUGUCUAACACCUAAGUCACGGAUACCCUGAGUGACAUUCCUCAGCCUUAAGAACAGAGACUGAACACAGCAGCGCUCACUCAGAGGCAGGUGGAGUGUGCAGAGCACAGAAGGUACAGUGGGUGGACAGGAAGGAGCUGGAGGCCAUGCCAACAGGUCUGGAUCAGUGGCUCUCAACCAAUGGACUGCCAACUGCUGGCCACGGAGCUGGAGGCUAACAACUGUCAAGUGUGCCCUGACAGUGAAGACCAACUGCACCCCAGAAAUGAUGACACCCUCAGACAGCAGGAAGUAGCCUAAGGAACCAAUGUUCCCAUCCCUGCCUCACCA